UACGGAGGGUGCAAACGUUGCUCGGAAUCAUUGGGCGUAAAGCGUGCGUAGGCGGUUCGGUAAGUCGGAUGUGAAAGCCCUGGGCUUAACCUAGGAAGUGCAUUCGAAACUGCCGGGCUAGAAUGUCGGAGAGGAUGGCGGAAUUCCCGGUGUAGAGGUGAAAUUCGUAGAUAUCGGGAGGAACACCUGUGGCGAAGGCGGCCAUCUGGACGAUGAUUGACGCUGAGUGCACGAAAGCGUGGGGAGCAAACAGG
rnacentral:rRNA from 1 species